CGAGCGCCUGAGGGGAACGCCGCCCCGCCGCUGGCCGAGCGGGGCGGAGGGAGGCUGGGAGAGAGAACGGUGGGGCACAACAGUUAAAUCCACACCGCUGUACAGUCAUGCUGAAGACAAGCACGUUCCUGAGCAGCUGCAUCACUGUGGGUCUGGGCAGGACACCUGCAAUACUCUAGAGAACGGCAAUUCAAAAAACAGUAAAACACCCUAAAUUUCCGUGAGUGCUCAGCAUAUAGAUAAAAUAAGCAACUAAGAAGUAAGUAAGUAAGUAUCGAGUGAAGUCGUGCCUUCAAUUAAUUGAAUUUAGAGCAGCACUUAAUUUGAAAUUCAGGAUUGUCAUUCGAUCACACUGGCCUCUCCUUACAGAGCAUUUUUCCGGAAUGAACAAGUGCAUUUAUCCUUCAGCACUGCCCCUUGCAUCACGGGGCUUCCUACAGCAGGAACUGUGUUCUCACUAGUAAGGAAAUGAAGAUGAAGGGGCAAGAAGGGAGGAACACAGGGAUGUGUUUAUUGAACUAUGAUGAAGAUGCCAAAGAUAAACCUAGCACCUGCACACUUUUUUUGUAUUGUGUAUGAGAAAAUCCUUGGCCGUUAAGAUUCAGGGCAAAUUUCUAAAUUGACAGAGCAAAGACUUUGUCCCAUCCCUUACCAUGUAAUUACUUUAUCAAAAUGACUUUCCGUGACUAUGAAAAAAACAAUCCAGACUGACCUUUGCUACUAACCACCCAAGUACAGUCAGGUGAAACGUCAAAGCUUUCAUCAGCACUAUGUACGCUCACUGCCUCUCUUCCAAGGGAAAAUUAUCAUUCAUUCAGCCACAGAAUAACAAGGUAACUAGCUCGGUCCAUCUUCACUUGCCUGCGGGUCAAGUAACCUUCCAGGGUAUCGUCUGGAGAUCUAAAACAGGUAACGCAGCCAAAGCAUGCAGAGCAGCAAUACUGAGCUUGUACAGGAGUGUCAGCAGCUGGAAACGAUCUGACUUCAGCCCGAGCCAACAAGCACACGCGCUGAUACACCUUGGAGGGAAGGGGCACCUACACGCGGCUGCCCUCGGGGACAGCCAGCAGGGAGUGGGACAGGGCAGGAAGGGGAACCAGAGCACGGGACCUAAUGGGCAGAGGAAGAAAGGCAGAGAGAGAACGAAGGGAAAAAAACUGGCAAAUCUACAGGCUUCAAAUCCUUCCGUCUUCUUUCAAAAAAGGAAAUUACUGGAUGUUUUCCUGUGUGGGGGAGGAUGUAGUAACAUUUUGUUUGGUUUUGACUUAAUGACACCUUAGUGCAGAAGCACAGGCCCCUACACCUAAAAGUAAACACCCUAAAUGAAGGGUGUUUACUUCAGUCUGAUAUACAAAUUCAGAUAAUGUCAUCCUGCAUUUUGGCCACGUGUGAUUUAAGUAAAGGGCAAUAUGGAAAGCUCAAAACCCUUCCCAGCAUGUCAAACAACAAAAGGUUUGUACUUAUUCUAUCCAAAUUCUAAAAAACAGAAGGAAAAAGCGAAAGGUUUAAGAGUUGUCUGUAGGAAAGCAUCCUAUUUCAUUCAUGACUGCUUCUAACAUUAAAUGCAAGCAUUAGCCCUCCUUACAAUUAACUCUCCUGCUUAAAACAAAAAAGCAUAUUACUGAAUGAUGAAAAUACAGGAUUUCCAGCUACUCUUAUUUCACCUUUCCAUGGACUUUUAGCAGUCUUCGCAACACAAAAGAAAACAUUAACACUGAUCUCUGGAACAAAUACAAAUCCUAACUAUGCUCAUUCAGCCUGGACCAUUGCAGUUUGAAGUGAAGGAAGCUUUGCUCACAUGCAUUUCUAAUCAACCAGCUACCAACAAAAUAACCAGACUAAUUAUUUCUAAUUGAGGUUUUCUCCUCUUGGAUCUUCCAAACACACUUCUAGCUGGCGAGUACUGCUGGUUGCCAAUCUCCAUGAGAGUAACAAUUCCUUGUUCACAAGGUGAUGUUCUUAAACAAAAGCCUACAAAUGGCCAGUCACAGCACAAUUACAGAGAAAAGUGCAUGAAGUGGAGUGACUGUCACCACUGACUUUACUAACAGCUGCUUGUAUUUGUAUAUAGAAACUGAAAAACUGAACUGCUCCCCACCAAAGCAGAUGAGUCACACCAAUUAAAGCACCAGGGAAAACAGGCAAUAGGGCAAAGUCAUUCCUUUUGAAGGAAUGGUGUCAACAAAGGUACAAAGUUCUUUCUAUCUAUAAAAACACAAAUACAGAGAUGGCAAAA